rnacentral:rRNA from 1 species
UUUGUGGAGAGUUUGAUCCUGGCUCAGGAUGAACGCUGGCGGCGUGCUUAACACAUGCAAGUCGAACGGAAAGGCCUCUGCUUGCAGGGGUACUCGAGUGGCGAACGGGUGAGUAACACGUGGGUGAUCUGCCCUGCACUUCGGGAUAAGCCUGGGAAACUGGGUCUAAUACCGGAUAGGACCACAUUUUGGAUGGUGUGGUGGAAAGUUUUUCGGUGUGGGAUGAGCUCGCGGCCUAUCAGCUUGUUGGUGGGGUAAUGGCCUACCAAGGCGUCGACGGGUAGCCGGCCUGAGAGGGUGUACGGCCACAUUGGGACUGAGAUACGGCCCAGACUCCUACGGGAGGCAGCAGUGGGGAAUAUUGCACAAUGGGCGCAAGCCUGAUGCAGCGACGCCGCGUGGGGGAUGACGGCCUUCGGGUUGUAAACUCCUUUCGCUAGGGACGAAGCG